UACGGAGGGUGCAAGCGUUAUCCGGAUUCACUGGGUUUAAAGGGUGCGUAGGUGGGUUGGUAAGUCAGUGGUGAAAUCUCCGUGCUUAACAUGGAAACUGCCAUUGAUACUACUGAUCUUGAAUUUUCCGGAGGUAAGCGGAAUAUGUCAUGUAGCGGUGAAAUGCUUAGAUAUGACACAGAACACCAAUUGCGAAGGCAGCUUACUACAGGGACAUUGACACUGAGGCACGAAAGCGUGGGGAUCAAACAGG
rnacentral:rRNA from 1 species